rnacentral:rRNA from 1 species
CGUAGGAAUCUAUCCUUGGGUGGGGGACAACCGUGGGAAACUACGGCUAAUACCGCAUGAUCCCUGAGGGGCAAAGGCGAAAGUCGCCUGAGGAGGAGCCUGCGUCUGAUUAGGUAGUUGGUGGGGUAAAGGCCUACCAAGCCUGCGAUCAGUAGCUGGUCUGAGAGGAUGAUCAGCCACACUGGGACUGAGACACGGCCCAGACUCCUACGGGAGGCAGCAGUGGGGAAUAUUGGACAAUGGGCGCAAGCCUGAUCCAGCAAUGCCGCGUGGGUGAAGAAGGUCUUCGGAUUGUAAAGCCCUUUUGGCAGGGACGAUGAUGACGGUACCUGCAGAAUAAGCUCCGGCUAACUUCGUG